GCUGGUGGGAGGGAGUCAUAUCCAUAUCCUUUGCAAUCUGAUCACAAAAACUUCUCUUUAAGAGUUUAGACGAUUAAGGUUUAUCAGGAAAAAUAGUAGAGUUGAGCUUUGCUCCCCGCUAAAAAGGCCAGCCCAGUUUUCCUUUCCUUGAACAAGAAAAUGUCAUGUUAUUACUUAUUACCACAGGUCUGUAGCAGGACAUGACGUGCCACUUCCUGAGCCUUCUACUUGAUGCUGUCUACUCUAACACUUCGAGGGUACGUGGAAGUAUGACAGUUGUUUUUUCUUUUUAUUUUAAAAUAUAUUAAAAUAAUAUUUUUUUUAUUUUUUAAAAAUUAUUUUUAAAAUUAAUAUAUUAAAAUAAUUUAAAAAUAUCUAAACCAUAUUAAUUUAAAUUAAAAUAAAAAUUUUUCAAAAACACUUUCCAACCCCACACUGCCGACAGCAACAGUCCCUGCAGAUUCCACACUCUGCUACGUGGCUCUAGAACUCUCUCCGUCUAAUCACCCUCUCCUUUUUAUACCCUCAAGAACCCAUAUCCUUCACCUCAGCAAGCGAACAAGCAAAGCAAAGCCAAGAAUCUUGAAAUAUUUACCUAAUCUUUGUGUUUCCCUCUUCAGGAAUCCCACCCAGCAAUAACAUGGCUUUUAGAUCAAUGGUGGGUGAAUUAUCAUUUUUAUUGCAAUCUUUAUCACGUUUAAGUGUACUUUACAUGUUUGCUUAGUCCCUGACUAAAUUUGUUCCUAUGGUUUGCAGGGAUAUUGGAAAUCAAUAGCUAGUCGCUUAAGUGGAACAACAACCUAUGCAACCUCAACCCCGCCAAAACUGAAAUCAUAUGCACCAACAGCUGAUCAGUUUGGACAUCACUAUCAUCAAGAAAGCAAGCAUGGCAAGAAGGUGAGAGGUGACUUUGUGCCAGUUUAUGUGGCAAUAGGGAUGAUAGCUGUAUCAAUAUCACUUGGUCUUUACACUGCCAAGCAACAAGUACUGUAUGCACCUAAUGUUCGCGUAAGGAAGAAGACUAGAGAGACCAUACCUGAAGUGGUUGAUCCAGAUAAAGUGGUGGAUGAAGCUGAUAAGUUCAUAAAGAAAUCAUUUUUCAGGAAAGUAGCACAUGUUCAAGAGUUUGAUCAUUAUGGACUUGAGUAUUUGCCUGAUCCUACUCGUAAAGAUG
rnacentral:lncRNA from 1 species